UAGGGGCCGAAAAUUAUUGCUAAUUAAACUUCUUAUAUUUUUCACUUUAUAAAGCUGAAGGAAAAUGGGCUAAAAUUGAAUGUUCUGCCUAAGAGGUCAAGAACGGAUGCCACAAGGCACAACAGGGUAGAGGCAGUGAAGAAAGCCAUUUAAUAUUCCUCUGCUUCCAUCACCAAUCCCACUUCAAAACAUAAGAGGUUUAUCAACAUCUCUGAUCCAAGUUAAUCAGCUAAUGAUUGUGAAAGAGACUUUGGGAGCACUAUGAUCCAAACCACCAUUUAAAAAGUGAUAAAACUAUGAGGUCAUUACAUGAAUCAGAUGGCCUAAGAUCCCAGAGGUGGACCCUUCAGAUUCUAAGUAAUGAAAACAGUGGAAGCCUGGUUCUGCAAAUUUCAGCUUUUCCUUGUCAUUUGUCCAGAAGCCUAAAAGGAAACAGGCUUCCUUCCAGGCCCAUCUAUCACAGCCACAGAGUUAUGCAAUAAAACGUCAAAAUAAUGACUUGGAGACACUGUGAAAAGCUACAGUCCCUUCCAAACUUCCAAGAAAGAGGUAAGCUUUUAUAAAAAUAAGUAUAUUUU